rnacentral:rRNA from 1 species
UGGGGAAUCUUGCGCAAUGGGCGAAAGCCUGACGCAGCCAUGCCGCGUGAAUGAUGAAGGUCUUAGGAUUGUAAAAUUCUUUCACCGGGGACGAUAAUGACGGUACCCGGAGAAGAAGCCCCGGCUAACUUCGUGCCAGCAGCCGCGGUAAUACGAAGGGGGCUAGCGUUGCUCGGAAUUACUGGGCGUAAAGGGAGCGUAGGCGGACAUUUAAGUCAGGGGUGAAAUCCCGGGGCUCAACCUCGGAAUUGCCUUUGAUACUGGUUGUCUUGAUUAUGUGAGAGGUGUGUGGACUUCCGAGUGUAGAGGUGAAAUUCGUAGAUAUUCGGAAGAACACCAGUGGCGAAGCCGACACACUGGCUCAUUACUGACGCUGAGUCUCGAAAGCGUGGGGAGCAAACAGG